CCAUGAUUCUCAUAGAACCCAAACUGCCAGCUAAAGCACACAAGUAAUUGGCACACCUGAGCUUGGAUCAUGACCAGACUCUCUGCUUCCUGUAACUUGUAAAGCCAGUAAGUAAUCAUGAUAUUUAUUCACUUAAUUGGAUUCAAGAAGUGGAGUCCUGCCCAUGCUGUGAGGAAUUGGAAGUGCUGAUCUGAUGAAAUGCAUACUAUGUGUCUUGGAAAAAUUUAUCUUAUCAGCCACCACCAGAACUCCUCCUGGGGUGAUGAACUUGUGUUGCUUCUCUUGAGGCAGCAAGAACAGUCGACCACACUUAGAUCUGCCUGCUGCCAGGUUUGCCAUUCUAUUUACCCCGAACAACCAAGGAGGAACAUUCAAAAGCAGCAUGAUUUGAGGAGUCAGAUACUUCCUUUUCCUUAAUGUCAUGGUGGAAUAACUGAGGAGUUUUGCCAUGAAACCAGAAGUGGAAGUCUGAGCCUGACUCUGAACAUGAACCCAGCAGCAUUUGAGGUGACAGGUCUAUGUAUGAUUUCAUCAGGCUAAGCAAUCAAAAUGAUCUGAACCUAUUACUGUUCAUAAUACUCUCCUCAUUUUUUUAUGUCAUUAACUACCUAGCUGCAGAAAGACUUGUCGGAAAGAAUAUUUAGAUGCUUUUCUAGGCUGUACAGCUCUCUUAAAUGGGUGGGAAAAUUUGUUUGGCAUGCCUGCCAAAACUUUCCUGGCAUCAGCACUGCCUGGGACAGUGGAGGAUCUGACUGUAUGAGUUCAGGCUGGCACAGGAAAAGUGCUUUCAUUAUUGUAAGAUUAAGAUUUACUCACUUUCUAGCAUUUCACCAUUAUUUUUUUUUCAUCCAUCAGUGAAGACGUGCAUGCAUUAAAUUAACAUUUUUGCUUGCCAUUAAUACAUAAUUCAUGGGUAAGUAGUGGCUCUGAGUAUUCUCUUAUUUAUGAAUGUGUUGGCUAUGGUGAAGUUACUCCAGGUUUGAAGUUGUAUAAAAGGAGGCCCAAUGUAUAUAAACAUAUAUUAUUUAUUAGCACAUUAUCAGGAGUUAUUGCUUUUGCUUGCUUCGUGUCAAUAACAGUACUGUUUUGUAACUUGGAAAAGUAAUAAUCUUUUUGCUUUCAUUUCCUUUGACAGGAAAAGCAAAAUUAUUUCAGUGCCAUUUCACAUGACUAACACUUUCAGAAACACCAAACAAUGCAGUAAUCAUUUGGGAUGAGGAGAAAAUGCAGAAAACAAAACAUACAUGCUGCAGCUAAAUGUGAUAUAUAGAUUAUAUGCACAGAGAAUAAGAAAAAAAGACAUUAAAAAGCUAAUAAUAAUAAUGAUAAUAGUGUUUCUGUGUAAUGCUCUUCCAAAUUAAAUUGCUCUGAUCUGGUGUCUCUCAUGAAUCAUUGCAUCAGAAACUACCACAGCUAAAACAAGAUUCCUUUGCAGUCCUCAGUGUGAAUUAAAACAAUAAUUUGACCUUUUAUUCCUGAGCUCUACCAUCAGCAUUUUUCAAAGAAAAAUAAAGAUUUUAAUGUGAGAAGACAUCCCUGUGAUUUUCAAAUAAUAUUUAAAUUCUGUCUUGGACAAAUUCAAUAUAGAAUAUUAAAAAUAUAUCCUACAAAAACAGUGCUUCCAAUCAAUUUCAUUUGAAAUAAAAUCAUUCACUUAAUUUAACCUGAUAACAGUUAGAAAUUGAAAUGCUGAUGGUUAUCUAAUUAAAUGUUCAAAAUUAGGCUCUGAAAUUCUUUGUUUCUGAGUUAGGCUGAACUAUGUGUCCUGCACUUAUGUACUCCAUAGAGUGCAGGUAUUGAGUUUACUGAAACAUGUCCUGCAUCCUGCUGUUUCUAGGCCUGCCUGCUCUCAGGAAUGCACCACCACUGACAUAUCAUGGCAUUAAGACAUUUUACACAUGUAAGCCUAUUUGGUUUAAAAUAACAAUAGAGUACAGAUUUCACCAAAUAAUGCAGUGUUUUACCUUUGCAAAGCAUAAAGAAAUUGAAAUGCUCGUAAAUAUUCUUGGCUCAGCUACUUAAUCUUAUUACCAGGAAUGGAAUUUGUUGGAUUUUUUGAAAGAAAAAACAAAAAGUAAGAGUACUUUCCUUUGGCUUCAUAUUUUGGGGCGCAUUACUUAAACCGUACUUUUCUACAAAUAUUAAAAGAAACGUAUUGAAUUUAUACUGCCUUGUCUUAGUCUGUGUUUGUGCCCCUGGAGUGCCUCUUGCAGUUUGCAGACUUGAUUCUCAGUGACUUGAAAAUGCUGGAAAGCCUCUGCUCAUUCUGAAGGUAUUUGGGUCAGGCUGUGUGUUCCUGAUGGAGCGGGGCUUGGAAGCUUCCCUGUUAUCUCAGGGGUCAUUCAGCAAAACCUUCAUCUGUGGUUUUGGCCUGGAGUCAGAAAACUUUAUCAAAUAAGACUCCUGUAUGGAAUAAAAUCUUUGUUUCUUUUCAGGGAUCUAUAAGGCAGGCCUGCACCAGGCAGAGUUGGACGCUGCACUGACAGACAAAUAUUCAUCUCUCCUCAAUUAUGCUGUACCUAUGCUAAUUAAACAGCAAAUGUGAAUGACUAGAAAAACUUAUGGUGUUGAGUUACUGUACAGACAUAUUGAAUGGCAUGUUUUUCAAUUGCCAGAAAAUUAGGUUGCCAGUUUACAGCUGUCAUUCCUCUCAAACAGAUCUGAUGAAAGGGACAGAAAACUGUUUCAGCACACCUCGCAUCAGCACAGAAGGCACAGUCAGAGAUCGAUCCCACACAGUGAAAAUAAUCAAAAAGGUAGAAAACCCACAGUAAUUUAAAAUUAUGGAAUGUGAAAGUUUCUCACUGCUCUUCCAGUAAGGCAGCAGGCUGAACUGAUAAGAUGAAAUGCCAGAAGGUAAAAAUCUUUUUUUUUCUUACUAGGUUGCAGACAGCAUAAAACACUAAGCAGCCUAGGAGGUAUUCUGAAAUCCUCUUAAUUUACUGAUAUGCAUUAGUGUACCUGCAAAUUGUUUUGGUUUGGAUGUUAGAUAAUAAUGAAAAUGGAUUUGACCUGGUAAAUAAGAAAAAGCUAAUACAGAUAAGAUCACUUAUGUGACCUGUUGUCUCACAUAGCUGUUAUAUCAAACAAAUACAGAUCCAGUCUAAAACUGGCUCCAGUCUAAACAGAUCCGGUCUUAACCUUUGCUCUUUUUUCAGCUAAACAGUUCCAGGCACACCAGAAAAAUUUAUAAAAAGUUUCCAUGCUUUCAAUCAUGUGCAGAAUUUAUGCUGUGAGGUCCAACAAGCUCUUGGCUGAUUCUGGCUGUGUUUGGAGCUAAUAAGAAAGAGAUUUACCUGAGCUCAGUUCAGAAAGUUCAUCUCAGAUUUCUUUAAAUAGAUGAGAAACAACUGACUCCAAUGGGAGUGCAGGACAUCACCACACUGCAGCUUUCAUCCAGCUACAAUACUGGUCUGUGCCUCAAAAGAACUAUGUGACAUCUUUGAGAGUGUCUCAUCACUUUUCAUGAUCUCAUGAAAUAAACAUUGACUGACCAGACAGUGUUUGAUGAAUGUCAGUUUCUGGCAAACUUUCACAAUUUUUUUGUUUUCCUCGGAGCAGAGAGGAAACAACAAUUCAAACAGCUGUUGCUGCCCUCAGACCAGUGCCCACUCCUCUCCUUGAGUGUGGCUUAACUCAGCUGUUGCUGUUUAAGUCCCUGCUGACAAGGGAAGGGAUCUGCAGGCACAACUCCCUGUAAUCACCAGAAAUACUAAAGAAAUUCAAAACUGGCCUCUGUCGCUGCUAGCAUUGGAGCUCAGACUGUUUUGAAUUGUGACUUUUCAU